GGGGGCAGCGGCGUUGGAGGCCACGGUGUCCAGCAUCAGCAGCAGCAGCUUGUGAUUGGCGAUCCCGGACAUUCAGUUGUACAUCCUCACAUCAAUGCACUGCCAAUGGGUUACAUCCUGUGUUGUGACCUCAUGGUUUACAUGGGAAUAAAGAUGAGUAUAAGCAGUGAUGAGGUCAACUUCUUGGUAUAUAGAUACUUGCAAGAGUCAGGAUUUUCUCACUCUGCGUUUACCUUUGGUAUAGAAAGCCGUAUCAGUCUAAUAUAAAUGGUGCCCUUGUCCCACCUGCUGCAUUGAUUUCUAUCAUCCAGAAAGGUCUACAGUAUGUAGAAGCAGAGGUUAGUAUUAAUGAGGAUGGUACUUUGUUUGAUGGUCGACCAAUAGAGUCUCUGUCACUGAUAGAUGCCGUAAUGCCUGAUGUAGUACAAACAAGACAACAAGCUUACAGAGAUAAACUUGCACAGCAACAGGCUGCAGCUGCAACAAACCAAAAAGGAUCUACAAAAAAUGGAGAAAACACAGCAAAUGGGGAGGAGAAUGGAGCACAUACUAUAGCAAAUAAUCAUAAGGAUAUGAUGGAAGUGGAUGGAGAUGUUGAAAUCCCUCCUAAUAAAGCAGUGGUGUUACGGGGCCAUGAAUCUGAGGUUUUCAUUUGUGCCUGGAAUCCUGUUAGUGAUCUCCUGGCAUCUGGGUCUGGAGACUCAACAGCAAGAAUAUGGAAUCUCAGUGAAAAUAGCACGAGUGGUUCCACACAGUUAGUACUUAGACAUUGUAUACGAGAAGGAGGGCAAGAUGUCCCAAGCAAUAAUGAUGUAACAUCUCUAGAUUGGAAUAGUGAAGGUACACUUCUAGCAACUGGUUCAUAUGAUGGAUUUGCCAGAAUAUGGACUAAAGACGGUAACCUUGCUAGUACUUUGGGACAGCAUAAAGGUCCUAUAUUUGCAUCAAAAUGGAACAAGAAAGGAAAUUUCAUCCUAAGUGCUGGAGUAGACAAGACUACAAUUAUUUGGGAUGCACAAACUGGUGAAGCCAAACAACAGUUUCCUUUCCAUUCAGCACCAGCAUUGGAUGUUGAUUGGCAGAGCAACAAUACCUUUGCUUCUUGUAGUACAGAUAUGUGCAUUCAUGUCUGUAAAUUGGGACAAGACAGACCUAUUAAAACAUUCCAGGGACACACAAAUGAAGUAAAUGCUAUCAAAUGGGACCCAACUGGCAAUCUCCUGGCAUCCUGUUCUGAUGACAUGACUUUGAAGAUAUGGAGUAUGAAGCAAGACAAUUGUGUCCAUGAUUUACAAGCACAUAACAAAGAAAUUUAUACUAUUAAAUGGAGUCCAACAGGACCAGGAACAAAUAAUCCAAAUGCUAACCUUAUGUUGGCAAGUGCCUCCUUCUAUUUUACUGUUAGAUUAUGGGAUGUAGACCGAAGCAUUUGCAUUCAUACUUUGACAAAACACCAAGAGCCUGUGUACAGUGUAGCUUUCAGUCCUGAUGGCAGGUAUCUGGCAAGUGGUUCUUUUGACAAAUGCGUGCACAUCUGGAACACACAGACAGGUGCUCUAGUUCACAGCUAUAGGGGAACAGGUGGAAUAUUUGAAGUUUGCUGGAAUGCAGCAGGAGACAAAGUUGGAGCCAGUGCAUCAGAUGGUUCAGUUUGUGUAUUAGACCUUCGGAAAUAGUUGGAAGCCAUGGACCGACUAUGAAUAUGUACAUAGCCAAAAUGACUGUCCUUGACCCAUGUACUGCUAUAGUCCCACUUGAACCAUGGCCAGUUCACUACAGCCAAAUCUAAAAGAAAUAUAUACGUCCAGUGUAUAUAAAC